rnacentral:rRNA from 1 species
GUGCCAGCCGCAGCGGUAAUGCGUAGGGGCCAAGCGUUGUCCGGAGUUACUGGGCGUAAAGCGUGCGCAGGCGGCUCAUUGCGCCCGACGUGAAAGCCCCCGGCUCAACCCGGGGAGGGUCGUCGGGGACGGGUGAGCUUGAGGGUAUCAGGGGCUGGUGGAACUCCCGGUGUAGUGGUGAAAUGCGUAGAGAUCGGGAAGAACACCCGUGGCGAAGGCGGCCAGCUGGGAUACAUCUGACGCUGAGGCACGAAGGCGUGGGAGCGAACGGGAUUAGAUACCCCGGUAGUCCACGCAGUAAACGAUGCAGACUAGGCGUGGGGACUUGACCCCUCGUGCCGAGCUAACGCGGAAGUCUGCCGCCGUGGGAGUACGGCCGCAAGGCU